rnacentral:rRNA from 1 species
CCUACGGGUGGCAGCAGUAGGGAAUUUUCGUCAAUGGGCGCAAGCCUGAACGAGCAAUGCCGCGUGAACGAGGAAGGUCUUCGGAUCGUAAAGUUCUGUUGAAGGGGAAAAAGAGCGGAGAGAGGAAAUGGUUUCCGAUUGAUAUUACCCUUCGAGGAAGUCACGGCUAACUCCGUGCCAGCAGCCGCGGUAAUACGUGGUUUGCGAGCGUUAUCCGGAAUGAUUGGGCGAAAGGGGUGCGUAGGCGGCCUGCUAAGUCUGAGUUAAAAGGUACCGGCUUAACCGGUACAGGUCCUGGAAACUGGCGGGCGAGAGAGCAGGAGAGGGCGGUGGAACUCCAUGUGUAGCGGUAAAAUGCGUAGAGAUAUGGAAGAACACCAGUGGCGAAGGCGGCCGCCUGGCCUGUUACUGACGCUGAGGCACGAAAGCGUGGGGAGCAAAUAGGAUUAGAUACCCGAGUAGUC